UUACUACAAGUGUCAUCAAGGGAUAACUACAAGUAGAAGCACCAUUUUUGGAUGGAAAAAACCCUUCAGGAAAGUAUACGUAUCAAAUGUAACAUGUACAUAGUGUAACAAAAUAUGAACAGUAAGGUUUUUACAUACAGUAGUAUUACAUACGUACAUAACUUUUUUUUACAGGAAUUUCCAACCAAGUUUGAUUAUGUACAUACAUGUUAUAAACCACUGUACGUAUGGUUACUGUAUGUAACUUACUAAACAUACAUACAUGACUUAACUUUGAUACUUUUUUGGUACAUUCCAGAAAACCAGGACCCCCUCCAUGAUGCAGGCUAUGGGGCCACAUAAAACUUUGUCCAGGGUUACUACAUAACAUAAAGAACCCCCUGAAUGAUGUAGGCUAUGGGGCCACAUAAGACUUUGUGCAUCCAGGGUUACAUAGCACGACAACUUUAAACUAAAGAACCCCCUGAAUGAUGUAGGCUAUGGGGCCACAUAAGACUUUGUGCAUCCAGGGUUACAUAGCAUGACAACUUUAAACUAAAAGUAAGGAAUUAAUUCACAUACAUUAACUUUUUUACUCUUGAUAUAACUCAAAGUAAGGAAUUUAUAAACUAAAAGUAAGGAAUUAAUUAACAUACAUUAACUCUUUUACUCUUGAUAUCUAUAAUUUACAUAUUGCAUUCAGGACUUUGUGUAGUAUUUUGUACUAAUUGUGUUAUACUUUUACCUUCCAGAGCUACCAGACUGGGAUUUUAGUGUACUCCAGGAUCUACCAAAGGAUUAGUGUACAGUGUAAUAGUGUUUAGUGUAUAAUCUAACCUAAGGAUUAAGUGUAGUACAUUGUGCUUUAUAGUGUCACAAGAGUUUAAUAAAGAAUUAUACCUUCAAGAACCAUCCUUUGGCAUUGAAAUAACCACACUACACAUCAUGCAAUACUUGCAUGUCAAACAGGUAAGGUCUCUCUAACUUUUUCUUAGUUUAAGGCAUAUUUCCAAGUGUCGUUCCGGCUUACGACGAUUUUCGGCUUACGACGCGCCUCAAGAACG